rnacentral:rRNA from 1 species
GACGAACGCUGGCGGCGUGCUUAACACAUGCAAGUCGAGCGGUAAGGCCCUUUCGGGGGUACACGAGCGGCGAACGGGUGAGUAACACGUGGGUGACCUGCCCUCAGCUCUGGGGUAAGCCUGGGAAACCGGGUCUAAUACUGGAUAUGACUCCAUGACGCAUGUUGUGGGGUGGAAAGCCUUGUGCGGCUGAGGAUGGGCCCGCGGCCUAUCAGCUUGUUGGUGGGGUGAUGGCCUACCAAGGCGACGACGGGUAGCCGGCCUGAGAGGGCGACCGGCCACACUGGGACUGAGACACGGCCCAGACUCCUACGGGAGGCAGCAGUGGGGAAUCUUGCGCAAUGGGCGAAAGCCUGACGCAGCGACGCCGCGUGAGGGAUGACGGCCUGGUGUAAC